rnacentral:rRNA from 1 species
UACGUAGGGUGCAAGCGUUUGUCCGGAAUUAUUGGGCGUAAAGAGCUCGUAGGCGGUUUGGUAAGUCGGGUGUGAAAUCUCCACGCUCAACGUGGAGGGGCCACCCGAUACUGCCAUGACUGGAGUCCGGUAGGGGAGUGUGGAAUUCCCGGUGUAGCGGUGAAAUGCGCAGAUAUCAGGAGGAACACCGAUGGCGAAGGCAGGUCUCUGGGCCACUACUGACGCUGAGAAGCGAAAGCAUGGGGAGCGAACAGG